rnacentral:rRNA from 1 species
GUGUGACUGCGUACCUUUUGUAUAAUGGGUCAGCGACUUAUAUUCUGUAGCAAGGUUAACCGAAUAGGGGAGCCGAAGGGAAACCGAGUCUUAACUGGGCGUUAAGUUGCAGGGUAUAGACCCGAAACCCGGUGAUCUAGCCAUGGGCAGGUUGAAGGUUGGGUAACACUAACUGGAGGACCGAACCGACUAAUGUUGAAAAAUUAGCGGAUGACUUGUGGCUGGGGGUGAAAGGCCAAUCAAACCGGGAGAUAGCUGGUUCUCCCCGAAAGCUAUUUAGGUAGCGCCUCGUGAAUUCAUCUCCGGGGGUAGAGCACUGUUUCGGCAAGGGGGUCAUCCCGACUUACCAACCCGAUGCAAACUGCGAAUACCGGAGAAUGUUAUCACGGGAGACACACGGCGGGUGCUAACGUCCGUCGUGAAGAGGGAAACAACCCAGACCGCCAGCUAAGGUCCCAAAGUCAUGGUUAAGUGGGAAACGAUGUGGGAAGGCCCAGACAGCCAGGAUGUUGGCUUAGAAGCAGCCAUCAUUUAAAGAAAGCGUAAUAGCUCACUGGUCGAGUCGGCCUGCGCGGAAGAUGUAACGGGGCUAAACCAUGCACCGAAGCUGCGGCAGCGACGCUUAUGCGUUGUUGGGUA